rnacentral:rRNA from 1 species
UACGUAGGAUGCAAGCGUUAUCCGGAUUUAUUGGGUUUAAAGGGUGCGUAGGCGGACUUAUAAGUCAGUGGUGAAAUCUCGUUGCUUAACAACGAACGUGCCAUUGAUACUGUAGGUCUUGAGUACAGAUGCCGUUGGCGGAAUGUGUCAUGUAGCGGUGAAAUGCAUAGAUAUGACACAGAACACCGAUUGCGAAGGCAGCUGACGAAACUGUAACUGACGCUGAGGCACGAAAGCGUGGGGAUCAAACAGG